rnacentral:rRNA from 1 species
GAUGAACGUUGGCGGCGUGCCUAAUACAUGCAAGUCGAACGAAGACUGUAGUAAUACUGUCUUAGUGGCGAACGGGUGAGUAACGCGUGGGUGACCUGCCCCGAAGUGUGGGAUAACAGUCCGAAAGGAUUGCUAAUACUGCAUAAUAUCCAAGAGAUUAGAUGCUUUUGGAUUAAAGGAGUAAUUCGCUUCGGGAGGGGCCCGCGUCCCAUCAGCUAGUUGGUAAGGUAAUGGCUUACCAAGGCGAUGACGGGUAGGGGACCUGAGAGGGUGGCCCCCCACAAUGGAACUGAAACACGGUCCAUACACCUACGGGUGGCAGCAGUAGGGAAUAUUAGUAAUGGGCGAAAGCCUGAACUAGCAACGCCGCGUGUGCGAAGAAGGCCUUCGGUCGGUAAAGACACUUUUGUAGAGGAGUGAGGAAGGACGGUACGUCUCAGAAUAAGUCUCGGCGUAACUAACGUGCCAGCAGCCGCGGUAAACUAAGUCUACG